rnacentral:rRNA from 1 species
UUCGGGGUGGAUNAGUGGCGAACGGGUGAGUAACACGUGGGCAAUCUGCCCUUCACUCUGGGACAAGCCCUGGAAACGGGGUCUAAUACCGGAUAACACUCUGUCCCGCAUGGGACGGGGUUAAAAGCUCCGGCGGUGAAGGAUGAGCCCGCGGCCUAUCAGCUUGUUGGUGGGGUAAUGGCCUACCAAGGCGACGACGGGUAGCCGGCCUGAGAGGGCGACCGGCCACACUGGGACUGAGACACGGCCCAGACUCCUACGGGAGGCAGCAGUGGGGAAUAUUGCACAAUGGGCGAAAGCCUGAUGCAGCGACGCCGCGUGAGGGAUGACGGCCUUCGGGUUGUAAACCUCUUUCAGCAGGGAAGAAGCGAAAGUGACGGUACCUGCAGAAGAAGCGCCGGCUAACUACGUGCCAGCAGCCGCGGUAAUACGUAGGGCGCAAGCGUUGUCCGGAAUUAUUGGGCGUAAAGAGCUCGUAGGCGGCUUGUCACGUCGGAUGUGAAAGCCCGGGGCUUAACCCCGGGUCUGCAUUCGAUACGGGCUAGCUAGAGUGUGGUAGGGGAGAUCGGAAUUCCUGGUGUAGCGGUGAAAUGCGCAGAUAUCAGGAGGAACACCGGUGGCGAANGCGGAUCUCUGGGCCAUUACUGACGCUGAGGAGCGAAAGCGUGGGGGAGCGAACAGGAUUAGAUACCCUGGUAGUCCACGCCGUAAACGUUGGGAACUAGGUGUUGGCGAANUCCACGUCGUCGGUGCCGCACCUAACGCAU